GAGUCCUUUGAAGGAGUGGAGGGUUGGUUUGGGUGGAUGAAGGGAAAGAGGAGGGAAGGAGGUACUUAACACAGCUCCCGGAUAUGAUAGGCAUGUUGGCAGGAAGAGAAGACCUUAAGUGGUAGGAAAGGUUUAUAGCAAGAACACGGGGAAUGCCAAUCCCUCACUCUAUUUCAAACUUCUGCCCCAGGACUGGUCUGUGCUCUCUUCUGCCUCCUAGCUGUACAUAGGCCCUGGGGCCAGGGUCCAAUGGAGGUGAUACCUACAUUUCACACCCAACAUGAUGGAUAUAAGAAAUAGAAAACAAAUAGCAAGUGUUGGUGGGGAUGUGGGAAAAUUAGAAGCCUUGCACAUGGCCGAUGGCAAUGUAACAUGAAGCUGUGCUGUGGAAAACAGUCUGGAGUUUCCUUAAAAUGGUGAUGAGAAUGUUUUGGCACCAGAUAGAGGCGGUUACACAGCGCUGUGGAGGUACCAAACGCGGCCGGAAGAUUGAUGUUAUGUUAUAUAAAUUUCACCUCCAUUAAAAAAGAAACAAACAAAAAACUAACAUCUGUGGAACGUCCUGGUGAUAGCAGAAACAGAAUCUGGAGAAACAGUGACGCACUCAGGUUUCCAGACAGACGACCAUGGAUACAAGUAGCCAUAACAAAUCUGAUGAAUUCGCCGCCCAAGUGAGCAAAAGAAGGGGUGCCAGCCUCUGUGCUGCCAGAAACCCCGUGUCCACACGUUUCUUGGUAGACAUCCCUGAAUAUCAUCGCAGGGCAAAGCAGCUUUGAAAUCUGAAACCACUACUCAACAAUGAACGUGCUGGAAACAGUCUGCAUCCUUUUCUCUUCCCGAGGUUGGGCCGAGGGAAAUGCUACGUUCAGAAAAGAUGAUCGUGUCAAAACCCCCGGUGAUUUCUAACGCUUGUGGAACACAUUGCACAGGAGCAAUUUAGACGACAAAGAGAGCACCCUUCGGUCCAGAUUUACACUGUGUUCCUAUUCACCGACACAUCAGCAAACAUUAUAA